AUCAAUGCUACUUACACAAUCAACUAUUGCAAGCUGGUGGGUGUGGAGGAGAACCUGAAGGACUUCAUCCAUAUUGACUUUGAUCCCCCUGGUCCCAUGUCAGCUGGCAUGUCCUGUGAAGUCCUUGUCACCUUCAAACCUAUGAUAAAUAAAGAUCUGGAAGGAAAUGUCUCAUUUUUGGCUCAGACGGGCGGCUUUUCUGUUCCACUGAAGUGUUCAACGAAAAAAUGUUCUGUAAGUUUCAAUUCCCUGAAUCUCUUCAGGGUGAGGGCCUUGGAGUACUGAGGGCAUGAGGCCAGAGCUCCACCACAGAAGUAUAUCUACAUCUACCUCUGUCUAUAGACAGGGCCUCACCAUGCAUCUCUGGCUGUCCUUGAACUCACUACGUAGACCAGUCUGGCCUCAAACUCAGAGAAAUUCACCUGCCUCUGCCUCUGCCUAUGCCUCCUGAGUGCUAGCAUUAAAGAUCUGCACCACC
rnacentral:lncRNA from 1 species